UUAAGUGAAUAAGGGUCCAUGGGGGAUGCCUUGGCGCUGAGCGGCGAUGAAGGACGUGACUACCUGCGAAAUUUUUCGGGGAGCCGGUAAGUAGGCUUUGAUCCGGAAGUGUCCGAAUGGGGAAACCCGGCUGACUUUGUCAGUCACUCCCACCUGAAUAUAUAGGGUGGGUAGAGCGAACGCGGGGAAUUGAAACAUCUUAGUACCCGCAGGAAAAGAAAUCAAAAGAGAUUCCCUGAGUAGCGGCGAGCGAAACGGGAAAAGGCCAAACCGGUAAGUUUACUUGCCGGGGUUGUAGGACUACAACGUGGUAUUGAUAAGAAAUAGCAGAACACUCUGGAAAGUGUGGCCAUAGUGGGUGAUAGCCCCGUAUGCGAAAUUUCGAAUCAGCCUAGUAGUAUCCUGAGUAGGACGGGACACGUGAAACCUUGUCUGAAUCUGGGGAGACCACUCUCCAAGCCUAAAUACGUCUCAGCGACCGAUAGUGAACCAGUACCGUGAGGGAAAGGUGAAAAGUACCCCGUUGAGGGGAGUGAAAUAGACCUGAAACCAUGGACCUACAAGCAGUAGGAGCACUAUGUAAAUCAAGUGUGACUGCGUACCUUUUGUAUAAUGGGCCAACGACUUAUGGCUCAGUGGCAAGGUUAAGUUUUUAAACGAAGCCGUAGCGAAAGCGAGUCUUAAUAGGGCGACCAUAGUCACUGGGCAUAGACCCGAAGCCAGGCGAGCUAUUUAUGAGCAGGUUGAAGGUGGGGUAAAACCUACUGGAGGACCGAACCCACAUUGGCUGAAGACAAUGGGGAUGACUUGUGAAUAGGGGUGAAAGGCCAAUCAAGCCUGGCAAUAGCUGGUUCUCUCCGAAAGCUAUUUAGGUAGCGCCUCAUGUAUCACCACCGGGGGUAGAGCACUGGAUGGGCUAGGGGGUCUCGCGACUUACCAAACCUAACCAAACUCCGAAUACCGGUGAGUGCAAUCAUGGGAGACAGACCUUGGAUGCUAACGUCCAUGGUCAAGAGGGAUACAACCCAGACCGUCAGCUAAGGUCCCCAAGUGUAUGUUAAGUGGUAAACGAAGUGGAAAGGCAAUAACAGCCAGGAGGUUAGCUUAGAAGCAGCUAUCCUUUAAAGAAAGCGUAAUAGCUCACUGGUCGAGUCGGUCUGCGCGGAAGAUAUAACGGGGCUAAACAUACCACCGAAGCUACGGGUGCGAUUUUCUUUUAGAUAAUCUGCACGGUAGGAGAGCGUUCUGUAAGCCUGCGAAGCGAUACUGUAAGGAGUCGUGGAGGUAUCAGAAGUGAGAAUGUUGGCAUAAGUAGCGAUAAAACGGGUGAAAAACCCGUUCACCGAAAGCCCAAGGUUUCCUGCACCAUGCUAAUCAGGGCAGGGUUAGUCGGCUCCUAAGGCGAGGCAGAAAUGCGUAGUCGAUGGGAAACAGGUUAAUAUUCCUGUACCGACUUUAGAUGCGAUGGGGGGACGGAGAAAGGUAGCUGAUCCAGGCGUUUGGUUGUCCUGGUACAAGCGUGUAGGCGUAGAGUUUUGGUAAAUCCGGACUCUUUUAACGCUGAGGCGUGAUGUGGUGUUCUUACUUCGGUUCGAACGAACUCAGUGAUCCUAUGCUUCCAAGAAAAUCCUCUAAGCUUCAGUCUAAAGUUGACCGUACCGUAAACCGACACAGGUAGGCGAGGCGAGAAGCCUAAGGUGCUUGAGAUAACUCUGGUUAAGGAACUCGGCAAAUUGGCCCCGUAACUUCGGGAGAAGGGGUGCCCAUUGUAUGUGAAGAGACUUGCUCUCGGAGCAGAAAUGGGUUGCAGUGACCAGGGGGUAGCGACUGUUUACUAAAAACAUAGCACUCUGCUAAGCCGUAAGGCGAUGUAUAGGGUGUGACGCCUGCCCGGUGCUGGAAGGUUAAGAGGAGUGGUUAGCCCUUGAGGCGAAGCUGUGAAUCGAAGCCCCAGUAAACGGCGGCCGUAACUAUAACGGUCCUAAGGUAGCGAAAUUCCUUGUCGGGUAAGUUCCGACCUGCACGAAUGGCGUAACGACUUCCCCACUGUCUCAACCAGAGACUCAGCGAAAUUGAACUUGCUGUGAAGAUGCAGCAUUCCCGCGGCUAGACGGAAAGACCCCGUGCACCUUUACUAUAGCUUGACAUUGGAUCUAGGUAUAUUUUGUGCAGAAUAGGUGGGAGGCUUUGAUCUAUAGACGCCAGUUUAUAGUGAGCCAACUUUGAGAUACCACCCUGAAUAUGCUUGGGUUCUAACCAAGGUCCGUAAUCCGGAUCUGGGACAUUGUCUGGUGGGUAGUUUGACUGGGGCGGUCGCCUCCUAAAGAGUAACGGAGGCGCGCGAAGUUACACUCAGGCUGGUCGGAAAUCAGCCAUUGAGCGCAAGAGUAUAAGUGUGACUGACUGCGAGACUGACAAGUCGAGCAGGGAAGAAAUUCGGUUCUAGUGAUCCGGCGGUAGCAAGUGGAAGUGCCGUCGCUCAACGGAUAAAAGGUACGCCGGGGAUAACAGGCUGAUCGCGCCCAAGAGUUCAUAUCGACGGCGCGGUUUGGCACCUCGAUGUCGGCUCAUCACAUCCUGGGGCUGGAGCAGGUCCCAAGGGUUCGGCUGUUCGCCGAUUAAAGUGGUACGUGAGCUGGGUUUAGAACGUCGUGAGACAGUUCGGUCCCUAUCUACCGUGGGCGUUGGAGAAUUGAGAGGAUCUGUCCUUAGUACGAGAGGACCGGGAUGGACAAACCUCUGGUGUUUCUGUUGUUCUGCCAAGAGCAUUGCAGGGUAGCUACGUUUGGAAUGGAUAACCGCUGAAGGCAUCUAAGCGGGAAGCCAGCCUCGAGAUUAAUUCUCCCGGAGCUUUAAGCUCCCUAAAGGGCCGUGGAAGACUACCACGUUGAUAGGCUGGGUGUGGAAGUGUAGCAAUACAUGGAGCUGACCAGUACUAAUUGCCCGUGAGGCUUAACCAU
rnacentral:rRNA from 1 species